rnacentral:misc_RNA from 1 species
AUAAUAUAUUAAGUAUAAUCUUCCACUGAACAUUAUGCCACAUAUGUUACGCAAAGCAGUGUGGCACCUGAAGCUCUCAAAUUUCAGAUCCGCCACUAACUUUAAGUAUAGAAAUUGGGGAAAAUGGUUGGCUCUGCAAGUCAUGACAGUUCGGUCAAGUUAUGGAAAUAGAGGACAAUUUCAAGAUUUCACAAAAAAGUAUAUAGAUAUCUAUAGCUCUUAUUGUUUUUUAUGAAGAAUAUCCAUGUUUGUGGUUGUUAUAGUUAACAUUAGAGCGUGGUUUGCCGUUGAGAAAGGCGUUGCACAGUAACAGAUUUGCAAAUUUUCAUGGUAAAAUGUACCGUGUUUCUCCUAGUAUUG